GGUCAGGAGGAGUUUUGGAUGUUUGGAAGCUGCAGCCCAGACCACACAGGCACUAGCUUGAGUUUCCCUGUCUCUAAAGGGAGUGUAUCCUCCUUAGAGAUACCAAUGAGAUCUGCAAGAAGCUUGUUCAACAGCUAGGCUGGGGUACCCAGACCAGAGAGAGACCCUGCCUCAAAAACAAUGUGGAAGGUUCUGGGACAUAGCGAUGCAUUCUGAGAAGACAUGGCUGAAGGCUCAAUCCUGAAGGUAUUGCCCAUCCAUCUCCAUACCAAGCUGGAAUUACCUCUGCUCUGGGCUUCGUAGCCCUCUGGAAUCCAUAAAAAGUCAGGGUAUCUGGCUGAGGCAAAAUUGAAUUAUUAAUCUAGUCCUGUUGUGCCACUGUUACUUUUCCAGACAAGCAGUUGAUUC